rnacentral:rRNA from 1 species
UACAGAGGUCCCGAGCGUUGUUCGGAUUCAUUGGGCGUAAAGGGUGCGUAGGUGGCGCUGUAAGUGGGGUGUGAAAUCCCGGGGCUUAACUCCGGAACUGCAUUCCAUACUGCGGUGCUUGAGGACUGGAGAGGAGACUGGAAUUUACGGUGUAGCAGUGAAAUGCGUAUAGAUCGUAAGGAAGACCAGUGGCGAAGGCGGGUCUCUGGACAGUUCCUGACACUGAGGCACGAAGGCCAGGGGAGCAAACGGG